UUGUAUAAUUCGGCAACACAUAUUCUAAAGUUGGAAUGAUACAGAGAAAAUUAACAUGGUCCCUGUGUAAGGAUGACACACAAAUUCAUGAACUGUUCCAUAAUUUU
ensembl:snRNA U6 U6 spliceosomal RNA